rnacentral:rRNA from 1 species
CUUGAGACCGGCGCACGGGUGCGUAACGCGUAUGCAAUCUACCCUUUACUGGGGAAUAGCCCGGAGAAAUUCGGAUUAAUGCCCCAUAUGCCCACGGAAUCGCAUGGUUCAGUGGGGAAAGUUCCGACGGUAAAGGAUGAGCAUGCGUCCCAUUAGCUAGUUGGUGAGGUAACGGCUCACCAAGGCGACGAUAGGUAGGGGCCCUGAGAGGGGGAUCCCCCACACUGGUACUGAGACACGGACCAGACUCC